ensembl:lncRNA
AGAAUCACAAUAGUUAGACCUAAACUUCUGCAUAAAAAAGAAACUGCAUUAGAAUCACAAAUGUAUUCACUUUCAGAAUAUAUUUAAUCGAUGUAUUUUCACCUUACAUCGACUAACAUAAACAGAGUAAAGGGUUUACACCCUAUUGCAUAACCUGCCUAGAGCCAUAAUAAUUUCAACAUGGAAUUAUUAGUGUGCAUAUAUUAUGAACUUGUAAGGAUUUGCUGGCGUGUGACUUCUUGCCCAAAUACAAAUGGUGCAAAGGGAAUAGCCUACGAAGUUACUAAACACAGUUCACGAACAAUUGUCUGUGUUCUCCUUGCUGUCAUCUCCCUGUCAAUCAGAAUUUAAAGUCACCCAAUCAAAUGUACUUUCUUCAGUUCGGUUGAAUGUCAGUAGUCCAGUAAAAACGGUGAAAUUGGAUACCUAGCAAUUUUUCGUUAUUUCUUCAGCCCGUCAUUUCUCUCCACCCUUCGUCUCUCUUGCUCCCUGUGUGUCCUACCGAAAAGCCGUGAAAUUCCUGAAGGUUUACACUUUUGCUUUUAUUGUUUUGGCGCACAAAUUAGUGGAUUUUCUUGGCUACUAAAAACCGUUAUAACUUCUAGCCUACUAAUGUAACUGCGCCACUUGUAACAAACGAUCAUUUCAAUCAUAACCGCAGAACACACGUUGGAUAGUCUUGCAGUUCAACGCCCUACUCCGGUUAAAGUGAGCAAGAAAUUCAGAAUGAAAGAACCGGGGAAUGAAAAUAAGGGUGGAAAGUAAGGAGGGAGAGGAGGAAGGAGAAUAAAGGGAAACUAGGAAGAUUUUUUUGCUCAAGGAAGAGAUAGAAAGUUAUGUGGGCACAAUCAUCGUCUCCCACGGUUUGACAGGUCAAGAAGUUUCUACUCCCGGGGGAAUUUGAACUGCCCUGUCCUCCCCAGAGCAGUGUGAAAUCUACCCACCCUGGAACUCUCUCCUACUGACACAAGAGAUGGAGGGAGUAAAGGAGAGAGAGAGGGAGGGAGUAAAGGAGAGAGAGAGGGAGCGGGGAGAGGAGAAAGAGAGCGACGAGAUGGAGGAAGAGGAGAAAGAGAGCGACGAGAUGGAGGAAGAGGAGAAAGAGAGCGAGGCUGAAGAGGAAGGUGAUGAAGAGGAGGAGGAUGAAGAUGCAGAGGGAGCAGCGUUGGUGUGGCAGGAGGGCUCGUACGGAGAGGAUGACCUGGGCCUACCCAUAAUGCACUGGGAGGCGCUGAGCCUGCGCAUCGCCGAGCUAGAGAAACAGGAAGAGGAAAAGAGAGAGAAGACAAAGUCUUCCAGUGUCCUGGAACGAGGGAAGAUGCUGUCCAUGAGCUGGCCAGGAGAGAGAGAUCGAGGGAAGAGUAAAGAUUGCUGGGAGGACAGAGGAGAGGCGGAGGACUGCAAUAGCCGCGUGACAGCCCUGACCGCUCGUCUUUCAAAUCAGAUGAACCUACAGCUGUGCUUCAUCAAUGACAGCGGGAGCGAAGAAGAGGAGGAGGAUUCUGGGGUAACGAUUUGCACAAAGAAUUCCAAAAUGGUGGUAAAGAAUGCUUCCGGCGUGCAGGUGUCCCAGCAGCCCCAGUCCCCAGCUGCAACCAAAAGCAAAUCAUCAGGCUUCAAGGCUGCGCUGAGUGCACUCAAAAACAAGCUGAGAACAGAACAGAAACGGAAGAGCCUAGUGUGUGGUGAUCCACUGUUGAAGAAUAGAAAGCGAGACCAUAGUGACCUGCAGGCCUCCAGUCUCAAAGAACUCAACACUCACAGAAACUCUCUCAAUAAGGCAAUACAAGACCUGAGCACUGAGCUGGUGGUUCACCUCCAGGCUCGAGACCAGCUGAGGACGGAACAGGACGCCAUGCUGCUGGAGGUACAGGAUAUGACAUCACUCUGACCCAGUCCCAGGCAAGAUGGGGGACAGUUUGUGCUGCAGAUUUCGUACUAGAAAUUCCUCUCCGGGGUUCAAUCUCUAUGACAAGGCCCAUCACUAUAGAAUCCUUCUAAUCAUUCUAAUUCUAUGGUGAGUGUCAUCACAUAAAAUGGAAUCCUGGUGUCGGUGAUGUCACAAUUAAUCGAUGACGGAUUAGACGCCGAAAGGAUGAGUCAAAUCACUGUGAAGAGACUGCAUCACUCCUAAAGACUGUUGAAUUGAAUUGCACAGCGUUUUCGUUUUUCUUUUUAUACCCAGUGAGCAAAACUGGUUGAAAUGACAUCAUUACACCCAGUUUUACAUUCAUUAUGACAUCACGUCGACCAGUUUUGUUUUCCCUCUGUGUUUUUGUUUGUUUGUGGGAAAUCAAAUGUGUAUGUCUGGACUGUUAAUGUUUUAGUGUUUUAGGGGGAAAUAACUGGAAUAUUAUAAGGGAUGAAUAAAUUACCAUUGCUUCCCAUGGAUCGAUCUAGCUCUAAUGUCAUUGUCAUCCAAGUGUUGAAAUGUAAUGGUUGUUUGCUAGCACAUUAUUCAAAUUAUGCGUCAUAUUAUACCAAAUAAAGCUGAUUCUGAUUGCAUAAUAAUCAUCUAACCACUAGGCUACCGGGGCGGCAGGUAGACUAGUGGUUAGAGUGCAGGGGCGGCAGGUAGACUAGUGGUUAGUCUGUAGGGGCGACAGGUAGACUAGUGGUUAGUCUGUAGGGGCGGCAGGUAGACUAGUGGUUAGUCUGUAGGGGCGGCAGGUAGACUAGUGGUUAGAGUGUAGGGGUGGCAGGUAGACUAGUGGUUAGAGUGUAGGGGCGGCAGAUAGACUAGUGGUUAGAGUGUAGGGGUGGCAGGUAGACUAGUGGUUAGAGUGUAGGGGCGGCAGGUAGACUAGUGGUUAGAGUGUAGGGGCGGCAGGUAGACUAGUGGUUAGUCUGUAGGGGCGGCAGGUAGACUAGUGGUUAGUCUGUAGGGGCGGCAGGUAGACUAGUGGUUAGAGUGUAGGGGUGGCAGGUAGACUAGUGGUUAGAGUGUAGGGGCGGCAGAUAGACUAGUGGUUAGAGUGUAGGGGUGGCAGGUAGACUAGUGGUUAGAGUGCAGGGGCGGCAGGUAGACUAGUGGUUAGAGUGUAGGGGCGGCAGGUAGACUAGUGGUUAGAGUGUAGGGGCGGCAGGUAGACUGGUGGUUAGAGUGUAGGGGCGGCAGGAAGCCUGGUGGUUAGAGUGUAGGGGUGGCAGGUAGACUGGUGGUUAGAGUGUAGGGGCGGCAGAUAGACGAGUGGUUAGAGUGCAGGGGCGGCAGGUAGACUAGUGGUUAGAGUGUAGGGGCGGCAGAUAGACGAGUGGUUAGAGUGUAGGGGCGGCAGAUAGACGAGUGGUUAGAGCGUUGGGCCAGUAACUGAAAGGUUGCAAGAUCGAAUCCUCGAGCUGACAAGGUAAAAAUCUGUCAUUUUGCCCCUGAACAAGGCAGUUAACCCACUGUUCCUAGGCCGUCAUUGUAAAUAAUAAUUUGUUCUUAACUGACUUGCCUGGUUAAAUAAGAUAAUAAUAAUAAUGAGUGUUAUGACGUAGAGUUCAAACAAAGUGUUACCGGAUAGUUUUUAUUCUUGUUGUUUGGACACGUUUAGAUGAAUGUUGUCGGUAAACAUUUCCUUCAGUUCUGUUCUGUCUCCUGCAUGUUUUCAUGUAUGAUGAUCGUCAAAGGAGUCAGUCACAGAAAGGGACAUUACUAAAACCACACAG